AGGUAUUGCUAUGAGGAAAGUCCGGGCUUCACAGGGCAGGAUAACGGAUAACAUCCGCCGAAGGCGACUUCCGGGAAAGUGCAACAGAAAUAGACCGCCCGGUUUUCCGGGUAAGGAUGGAAAGGCGAGGUAAGAGCUCACCGGCGUGUCGGUAACGCCACGCAAAUGUAAACCCUAUCCGAAGCAACACCGUAUGUGGGUGCCGAAAGGCGGGCUUGCCCGGCCUAUACCCACGGGUGGCACAUGGUAACCAACCCAUGGAGCGCUCCGGUAACGGAGCGUCACAGAUAGAUGAAUGCAGCCCCGCAAGGGGAACAGAACCCGGCUUACAGACUCGGUC
rnacentral:RNase_P_RNA from 2 species